rnacentral:lncRNA from 1 species
GUUUUUAUAACGGUUUUUUGGACGUUAAGAAAAACGUUAUAUAAGUGUUAUGUAUAAUCAUAUUUAUUUUUAUUAAUUUUUUUUAAUUUUUUUUAAACCCAUAUUAUUUUAUAUUAAAAUAUAAUUCCCCCAAAUCCUUUCUUUCUCUCUCUCGUCUAAUUCCCCCAAAACGUCACUCUCUCUCUCGUCCUCCCCCUAACCAGCGGCGCCACCCAAAACCACCAAACCCUAACUCUCUCUCUCGGCCUUCCCCAAGUCCGCCAUGCCUCUGCGGGUCAGCCAAGGAUGAUGGCACCGUCGAACUCGCGUGCAACGCGGAUGAGGCGGUUCCAUCAAGGGACGCCGAAGGCUAGGGCNGGUUGUCGCACGUUGGGAGUCUUUUCCUCAGAAUUCUCCAGGUGACUAAUCUUGCUUUCUGUGGGGCCGGUGUGUCCCACACGUGUUCCAUCAUCUCUUUGUCGAAGCUCACUUGGUGAACCCGAGAUCCUUGAGCUUUUGAUUAAAUCAUAUGCUGACUUAGAAGAGAAUGAGCCCUCUUUUGUAGCAUUCCAACGCCAAUAGUCUUCAGUACCUGCGUUCAAAGUAACAGAGGAGAUAGCAGCCAACAGAUCAUUAGUCAUCUCAAGCUCUCUAUCCCGGAGUGGUCGCCUCCAUUUGAGAUUCCAUUCCCAGCCCCCUUCCUUCCACUCCCCCUGAUCACUAACCACAGCUUUUUUGUUUUCACAUAGCUGAAAAAGUCUGGGAAAAGCAGUCUUUAAGCUUCCCGAAUCAGCCCAAAUAUGCUCCCAAAAGCUUGUGUUCCUACCGUUUCCCACCACCAUCGUCAGAGAAUUCACGAACCAAUUCCCCGUUUGUUCUCCCACAGUUGCUAAGACACUUGGCCACCACCCAGUUCUACUUCUACCCAGAGACAACACUUCCAGCCCUUCUCCCUCCCACUUAAGAUCACCAUGGAUCGACCUCACAAUUCUCGCCCACAACCUUUCCCUCCCCACCAAAUACCUCCACACCCAUUUCGACACAAGUGCGACAUUAAACCAUUCCAGAUUCCUCAGCCCCAGCCCACCAUCCUUAAAAUCAUUGUACAGCUCACUCCAUUUAACCCACGGGAUCGACCCUGCAUUAGCCCUUCCUCCCCAAAGGAAUUUGCAGAGAAGGGAAUUUAAGGAUUUAAUAGUUGCCUUUGGGAUUCUUGAAAAAGAGAGUUGGAAAACCGGGAUUGCCAUAAGAACGGACUUAACCAAAGUGUACACGACCCGGCAAGAGACAACUUACCUUGACUUCCAACCAUCAACUCGCUUCUUCACUUUUCCACAAGAAAGUUCCAGUUGACCACUUUGUUAAGGCCACUGCCCACUUUUAAACCAAGGUAACUGAAAGGAGAAACUCCAACCUUGCAGCCGAGUUCCGAAGCCAAUCCUCUCAACAAUCGAACACUCCACCUCCACACCAAUCUAAACUACUUUUGUCAAAAUUCACAGCAAGGCCCGAAAGUACUUGAAAAUACCCAGUACAUACCUCAUAGCUUUUGCAUUACAUUCCUUGUCCUCCAAAAUGAAGAUGGUGUCAUCCGCGUACUGAAGGUGUGAGAUUUGGAUCUUAUCGGCGCCUAUCUCUGCAGGAAUAACCAGAUUUUUCUCCACAGCUCUUUCCAUGAGAAAGUGAAGGCCUUCAGCCACAAUGAGGAAUAGAAAAGGGGACAAUCACUACUACAAAAUUUCACAUACAUAACACUCAAUACAUAACGGUUUUUUAAAAAAACCGUUAUGUAUGAGCGCACUUUUAGGUAUAGAUAACGGUUUGACAAAAAACCGUUAUCUAUGUAGUGUUAUCCAUACUCAUAGACAACGGUUUAAGUUAAUCCGUUAUCUUUGUGCGUUAUCUAUUAGUCCCAUAGAUAACGGUACUACAAAACCGUUAAGCCGACCGUUAUCUAUGAGCAUGUUUUUAUAACGGUUUUUUGGACGUUAAGAAAAACGUUAUAUAAGUGUUAUGUAUAAUCUAUAUUUAUUUUUAUUAAUUUUUUAAUUUUUUUUAAACCCUAUAUUAUUUUAUAUUAAAAUAUAAUUCCCCCAAAUCCUUUCUUUCUCUCUCUCGUCUAAUUCCCCCAAAACGUCACUCUCUCUCUCGUCCUCCCCCUAACCAGCGGCGCCACCCAAAACCACCAAACCCUAACUCUCUCUCUCGGCCUUCCCCAAGUCCGCCAUGCCUCUGCGGGUCAGCCAAGGAUGAUGGCACCGUCGAACUCGCGUGCAACGCGGAUGAGGCGGUUCCAUCAAGGGAACACCGAAGGCUAGGGCACAUCGAUGCGAAGCAAGGAAAAGGAGGAUGUUAUCGGCGGCAGCUGGUCGCUGGCUUCACGAAGAUGACGGCUAUGCCUUGUCAGCCUCGCCGGAGUUAGAGGCGGCGGUGGCAGCGGAUUUGAAAUUUUGGGGAAAAAAUUAGGGCUCAUGUGUGUGCGUAAGUACGUUCUGGAGAUACGGGGGUAGAGACGAUGGGAGGCGCGAUGAUGGCGGUGACCGUGGCAGCCGGCAGCGGCUGACGCCACCGGAGAAGAGGGAGAGGCGACCAUGGUUUGGGUAAUUCAAUUAUUUUUUUCUUCCUUUUGUUACCAGUUAAUUGGAGCUUCUAGAUUCCUCGCUGUUCAGCAGCGCCGUGCCCUCGCUUAUGCCCGCCUCAAACGG